rnacentral:rRNA from 1 species
GAAUAUUGGACAAUGGGGGCAACCCUGAUCCAGCGAUGCCGCGUGAGUGAAGAAGGCCUUCGGGUCGUAAAGCUCUUUAGGUUGGGAAGAAGGGUGAUAGGGGAUAAUCCUGUUACUUUGACGGUACCGACAGAAUAAGCACCGGCAAACUCUGUGCCAGCAGCCGCGGUAAUACAGAGGGUGCAAGCGUUAAUCGGAGUUACUGGGCGUAAAGGGCGCGUAGGCGGUUAUAUGAGUGUGGUGUGAAAGCCCCGGGCUUAACCUGGGAAGUGCAUCGCAAACGAUAUAACUGGAGUAGAUGAGAGGGUGGCGGAAUUUCCGGUGUAGCGGUGAAAUGCGUAGAGAUCGGAAGGAACGUCAAUGGCGAAGGCAGUCACCUGGCAUCAUACUGACGCUGAGGCGCGAAAGCGUGGGGAGCGAAC